GACGAACGCUGGCGGCGUGCUUAACACAUGCAAGUCGAGCGAUGAAAUUCUCUUCGGAGAAUGGAUUAGCGGCGGACGGGUGAGUAACACGUGGGUAACCUGCCUUAUAGUGGGGGAUAGCCUUUCGAAAGGAAGAUUAAUACCGCAUAAUAUUGUGGUUUCGCAUGAAACAACAAUUAAAGAUUUAUCGCUAUAAGAUGGACCCGCGGCGCAUUAGCUAGUUGGUGGGGUAACGGCCUACCAAGGCGACGAUGCGUAGCCGACCUGAGAGGGUGAUCGGCCACAUUGGGACUGAGACACGGCCCAGACUCCUACGGGAGGCAGCAGUGGGGAAUAUUGCACAAUGGGGGAAACCCUGAUGCAGCAACGCCGCGUGAGUGAUGACGGUCUUCGGAUUGUAAAGCUCUGUCUUUAGGGACGAUAAUGACGGUACCCUAAGGAGGAAGCCACGGCUAACUACGUG
rnacentral:rRNA from 1 species